AACGAACGCUGGCGGCAUGCCUAACACAUGCCAGUCGAACGAGACCUUCGGGUCUAGUGGCGCACGGGUGCGUAACGCGUGGGAACCUGCCCUUAGGUUCGGAAUAACUCCCCGAAAGGGGUGCUAAUACCGGAUAAUGUCUUCGGACCAAAGAUUUAUCGCCUUUGGAUGGGCCCGCGUUGGAUUAGCUAGUUGGUAGGGUAAAAGCCUACCAAGGCGACGAUCCAUAGCUGGUCUGAGAGGAUGAUCAGCCACACUGGGACUGAGACACGGCCCAGACUCCUACGGGAGGCAGCAGUGGGGAAUAUUGGACAAUGGGCGAAAGCCUGAUCCAGCAAUGCCGCGUGAGUGAUGAAGGCCUUAGGGUUGUAAAGCUCUUUUACCCGGGAUGAUAAUGACAGUACCGGGAGAAUGAGCGCCGGCUAACUCCGUG
rnacentral:rRNA from 1 species